UCUGACUUUCAAAGCCUCAGGGCCCCGCAAGGCUCCAUAUGAUCUAGCACGUUCCCUCCUCCCAUUACCCAGCUCACCUCUCUGACCUCAUCUUCUUGUCUCUCCCACUCCUUCCAGGUACCCUGGCCUCUUUGCUUCUCUUCAGACUCCCUGGAGGUCCUGAGAUUGAAGAAGGCCAGGAUCUUCACGGAGGAUGACCAGAGCCUACAUGGAGUCUUUUAAAUGAAAUCGUGAAUGAACGUCUGGAAAAUUACUUGAAUUCCUCCAAAGAAGAGAGAUGUUCGUGGCUGUCACCAGACAGAAAGCUUUGAAAACACAAAGCAGCCG